rnacentral:rRNA from 1 species
UACGAAGGGGGCUAGCGUUGUUCGGAAUUACUGGGCGUAAAGCGCACGCAGGCGGCUCGAUAAAUUAGAAGUGAAAGCCCCGGGCUUAACCUGGGAAUUGCUUUUAAGACUGUCGGGCUAGAAUCCAGAAGAGGGUAGUGGAAUUCCGAGUGUAGAGGUGAAAUUCGUAGAUAUUCGGAAGAACACCAGUGGCGAAGGCGACUCACUGGACACGUAUUGACGCUGAGGUGCGAAAGCGUGGGGAGCAAACAGG